rnacentral:rRNA from 1 species
AGCUCUGUAAGCGUAUACCAAAGUUGUUGCAGUUAAAACGCUCGUAGUCGGAUUUUGGCGGGCGUUGCGGGUUUGUUUUUUUCUAAAAUGAGUCAGCAGCGGCCGCCUUUGUGGAGGGGGGCUUUCGGGGUACUUCAUUGAAUCUCACUGUCGCCGCCACCGUUUACUGUGAAAAAAUUAGAGUGUUCAAAGCGGGCGUUUGCCAUGAAUACAUUAGCAUGGAAUAAUAGAAUAGGACCUGGUCCUGUUUUGUUGGUUUGUGAGUAUCAGGUAAUGAUUAAGAGGGACGGUUGGGGGCACUUGUAUUGCGGCGUUAGAGGUGAAAUUCUUGGAUCGCCGCAAGACAAACAGCUGCGAAAGCGUUUGCCAAGGACGUUUUCA